CACCUGCUGGUCACAUUCCCCUCAGCGCCGAUUGGUUAGCGGGUCUUCGCCGGCCCGGCGACAGCAGCGGGGGAGGGGAAACGCGGGGCCCAAGCUGGGGAGCCGGUCGCAAGGGGGCCGGCGCGGCUGGGCCGGCCGGAGGCGAAUCCACUGGACUUGAUGCCCCAAGUCCCGACUCACCGCCAUCAUGUCGAGCACUGUGUCCAUCCUUCAGCAAUUUGCCAGCGGGCUGAAGAGCCGCAAUGAAGAAAUCAGGGCAAAAGCUGCCAAGGACUUGCAGCAUUAUGUCACCAUGGAGCUCCGUGAGAUGAGCCAGGAGGAAUCCACCCGCUUCUACGAUCAGCUGAAUCACCACAUAUUUGAACUGGUCUCUAGCUCUGAUGCGAACGAGAGGAAAGGAGGCAUUCUGGCUAUAGUGCUGUUGAAAGGUUCUGGAUUGACAACCCUUGACACUGAUGGCCUCUUUAGCUACAAAGCAGCGAGCCUUAUCGGCGUUGAGGGAGGCAAUGCCACCCGCAUCGGCAGGUUUGCCAAUUACCUUCGGAACCUACUCCCUUCCAAUGACCCUGUCGUCAUGGAGAUGGCGUCCAAGGCCAUCGGGCGCCUUGCUCUGGCAGGUGAUACCUUCACGGCAGAAUAUGUGGAGUUCGAGGUGAAACGGGCUCUGGAGUGGCUGGGAGCUGAUAGGAAUGAAGGUCGAAGACACGCGGCUGUUCUGGUCCUGCGUGAGCUGGCGAUCAGCGUGCCCACCUUCUUCUUCCAGCAGGUGCAGCCGUUCUUCGAUAACAUCUUUGUUGCUGUGUGGGAUCCCAAGCAGGCCAUCCGAGAGGGAGCAGUGUCUGCCUUAAGAGCCUGCCUUAUCCUCACCACCCAGCGGGAGCCAAAAGAGAUGCAGAAGCCACAGUGGUACAGACACACAUACGAAGAGGCAGAGAAAGGUUUUGAUGAGACUCUAGCCAAGGAGAAGGGAAUGAAUCGUGACGACCGAAUCCAUGGUGCCUUACUGAUCCUCAACGAAUUAGUGAGAAUCAGCAGCAUGGAGGGCGAGCGCCUCAGAGAGGAGAUGGAGGAGAUCACGCAGCAGCAGAUGGUGCACGACAAAUACUGCAAAGACCUGCUGGGCUUCGGUACAAAGCCUCGCCACAUCACCCCUUUCACCAGCUUCCAGUCUGUACAGCCCCCGCAGUCAAAUGCCUUGGUUGGGCUCCUGGGGUACAGCCCCCAUCAAGGAAUCAUGGGGUUUGGAGCCUCGCCUGUCCCAGCAAAGUCAACGUUGGUCGAGAGUCGAUGUUGUCGGGAUCUGAUGGAGGAGAAGUUUGAUCAGGUGUGCCUCUGGGUUUUGAAGUGCAGAACCAGCAAGAACUCUUUGAUCCAGAUGACAAUCCUCAAUUUACUGCCGCGGCUGGCUGCUUUCCGGCCUUCUGCCUUCACAGCUGAUCAGUACCUUCCGGACACAAUGAACCACAUCCUGAGCUGUGUGAAGAAGGAGAAGGAGCGAACAGCAGCCUUCCAAGCCUUGGGAUUGCUUUCUGUAGCCGUGAGGUCUGAGUUCCAGGCCUACUUGCCCAAGGUCCUUGAAAUCAUCAAAGCAGCACUCCCACCAAAAGAUUUCGCCCACAAGAGGCAGAAGUCCAUGCAGGUGGAUGCCACAGUCUUCACCUGCAUCAGCAUGCUGGCACGAGCUAUGGGACCCUGCAUCCAGCAGGACAUCAAAGAGCUUCUGGAACCCAUGUUGGCUGUGGGACUGAGUCCUGCUCUGACCGCUGUGCUCUAUGACUUGAGUCGUCAAAUCCCCCAGCUGAAGAAGGACAUCCAGGACGGGCUGCUGAAAAUGCUCUCUCUCGUUCUAAUGCACAAACCUCUCCGGCACCCAGGCAUGCCCAAGGGCCUUGCCCACCAGCUGGCCUCUCCCAGCCUCACCAACAUCCCUGAGGCCAGUGACGUGGGCAGCAUCACCCUUGCCCUGCGCACACUGGGCAGCUUCGAGUUUGAAGGCCAUUCUCUGACCCAGUUUGUCCGGCACUGUGCGGAUCACUUCCUGAACAGUGAGCACAAGGAGAUCCGGAUGGAGGCGGCCCGCACCUGCUCUCGCCUUCUCACGCCCUCCAUCCACUUGAUCAGUGGUCAUGCCCAUGUGGUCAGCCAGACUGCAGUGCAGGUGGUGGCAGACGUUCUCAGCAAACUGCUCGUGGUUGGGAUAACAGACCCAGACCCCGAUAUCCGUUACUGUGUGUUGGCCUCCUUGGAUGAGAGGUUUGAUGCCCAUCUUGCCCAGGCAGAAAAUCUGCAGGCUCUCUUUGUGGCCCUGAACGAUCAGGUGUUUGAAAUCCGAGAGCUGGCUAUCUGCACCGUGGGCCGGUUGAGCAGCAUGAACCCUGCCUUUGUCAUGCCUUUCCUGCGCAAGAUGUUAAUACAGAUCCUGACGGAGCUGGAACACAGUGGUGUUGGCAGAAUAAAGGAGCAGAGCGCCAGGAUGUUGGGUCACUUGGUUUCCAAUGCCCCACGACUCAUUCGUCCGUAUAUGGAGCCUAUCCUUAAGGCAUUGAUUGUGAAACUGAAAGAUCCUGACCCAGAUCCAAAUCCAGGGGUGAUUAAUAACGUCUUGGCUACCAUAGGGGAGCUGGCACAGGUCAGUGGGCUGGAGAUGAGGAAGUGGGUGGAUGAGCUCUUCAUCAUAAUUAUGGACAUGCUCCAGGACUCCUCCCUGCUAGCGAAAAGACAGGUGGCUCUGUGGACGCUGGGACAACUGGUGGCCAGCACGGGUUAUGUGGUGGAGCCGUACAGGAAAUACCCAACCUUGCUGGAUGUGCUGCUGAAUUUCUUGAAGACCGAGCAGAACCAGGGCACUCGGAGAGAGGCUAUCCGUGUGCUGGGACUGUUGGGGGCUUUGGACCCUUACAAGCACAAAGUGAAUAUUGGCAUGAUUGACCAGUCACGAGACGCUUCGGCUGUCAGCCUGUCGGAGUCUAAAUCCAGCCAGGAUUCUUCUGAUUACAGCACCAGUGAGAUGUUAGUGAACAUGGGAAACCUCCCUCUGGAUGAGUUCUACCCUGCUGUCUCCAUGGUAGCGCUGAUGAGAAUCUUCCGAGACCAAUCCUUGUCCCACCAUCACACUAUGGUCGUCCAAGCCAUCACCUUUAUUUUCAAAUCCCUCGGGCUGAAGUGUGUGCAGUUCCUGCCCCAGGUCAUGCCAACGUUUCUUAAUGUAAUUCGGGUUUGCGAUGGUGCCAUCCGAGAGGUAAAAGAAGAUGGUGAAAGUGUACUGGGGAGAAGAGCUGAGUUCCUAUUCCAGCAGCUAGGAAUGUUGGUGUCUUUUGUGAGGAGCCAUAUUCGACCCUAUAUGGAUGAAAUUGUCACCCUUAUGAGAGACUUCUGGGUCAUGAACAAUUCUAUACAAAGCACAAUUAUCCUACUUAUUGAGCAAAUUGUGGUGGCUCUUGGGGGCGAGUUCAAGCUCUAUCUGCCUCAGCUCAUUCCUCACAUGUUACGGGUCUUCAUGCAUGACAGUAGCCCAGGACGCAACGUCUCUGUCAAGCUGUUGAAUGCGAUCCAGCUGUUUGGAGCUAACUUGGAUGACUACCUGCAUUUGUUACUACCUCCCAUUGUAAAGCUGUUUGAUGCCCCAGAUGUCCCACUGGUGGCUCGCAAAGCUGCUUUGGAGACUGUGGACCGCCUGACAGAAUCCCUGGAUUUCACUGAUUAUGCUUCACGGAUUAUUCACCCCAUCGUGCGGACCCUAGAUCUAAGCCCUGAGCUACGGCCAACUGCCAUGGAUACAUUGUCCUCUCUGGUCUUCCAGCUAGGGAAGAAGUACCAGAUUUUUAUCCCAAUGGUGAACAAGGUCCUGGUGCGCCAUCGAAUAAACCACCAGCGAUAUGAUGUUCUCAUCUGUAGGAUUGUGAAGGGCUACACCCUUGCUGACGAAGAGGAGGAUCCCCUGAUUUAUCAGCACCGAAUGCUGAGAAGCAGCCAGGGAGAGACGCUGACCAGUGGCCCUGUGGAAACAGGACCUAUGAAGAAAUUACACGUCAGCACCAUCAACCUGCAGAAGGCCUGGGGAGCAGCAAGAAGAGUCUCCAAAGAUGACUGGUUGGAAUGGCUGCGGCGAUUGAGUUUGGAGUUACUGAAAGAUUCCUCGUCACCAUCCCUGCGCUCUUGCUGGGCCUUGGCUCAGGCCUAUAACCCUAUGGCCAGAGAUCUCUUCAAUGCUGCCUUCGUUUCCUGCUGGUCUGAGCUGAAUGAAGACCAACAGGAUGAGCUGAUCCGAAGCAUUGAGUUGGCCCUCACUUCUCAGGAUAUUGCAGAGGUGACUCAGACCCUGCUGAACCUGGCAGAAUUCAUGGAGCACAGUGACAAGGGUCCAUUGCCAUUAAGAGAUGAUAAUGGAAUUGUCCUGUUGGGGGAAAGAGCUGCCAAAUGCCGUGCCUAUGCUAAGGCCCUGCACUACAAAGAGCUGGAGUUUCAGAAGGGCCCCACACCAGCUAUUCUGGAAUCUCUCAUCAGCAUUAACAAUAAGCUGCAGCAGCCCGAGGCAGCUGCUGGGGUCCUUGAGUAUGCCAUGAAGCACUUUGGGGAGCUGGAAAUCCAAGCAACCUGGUAUGAGAAGCUCCAUGAGUGGGAGGAUGCCCUUGUGGCCUAUGACAAGAAGAUGGACACAAACAAGGAUGAUCCUGAGCUGAUGCUGGGACGUAUGCGUUGCCUGGAAGCACUUGGAGAAUGGGGGCAGCUUCAUCAGCAAUGCUGUGAAAAGUGGAUGCUGGUAAAUAAUGAAACUCAAGCCAAGAUGGCUAGGAUGGCUGCUGCUGCUGCUUGGGGCUUAGGUCAGUGGGAUAGCAUGGAAGAAUACACUUGCAUGAUCCCAAGGGACACCCAUGAUGGUGCCUUCUACAGGGCCGUGCUGGCACUGCAUCAAGACCUCUUCUCAUUGGCUCAACAAUGCAUUGACAAGGCCAGAGACCUGCUAGAUGCUGAGCUGACUGCCAUGGCGGGAGAGAGUUACAGUCGGGCCUAUGGGGCUAUGGUAUCCUGCCAGAUGCUAUCAGAGCUGGAAGAGGUUAUCCAGUAUAAACUUGUACCAGAACGACGCGAGAUCAUCCGCCAGAUAUGGUGGGAGAGACUGCAGGGCUGCCAGCGGAUUGUAGAGGACUGGCAGAGAAUACUUAUGGUCCGGUCUCUCGUUGUCAACCCCCACGAGGACAUGAGAACUUGGCUCAAGUAUGCCAGCCUAUGUGGCAAGAGUGGGAGACUGGCUUUGGCCCACAAGACGCUUGUACUACUCCUGGGAGUAGACCCAUCUCGGCAGCUGGAUCACCCAUUGCCAACUGUUCAUCCCCAAGUGACUUAUGCCUACAUGAAACACAUGUGGAAGAGUGCCCGCAAGAUUGAUGCCUUCCAGCAUAUGCAGCACUUUGUGCAGACAAUGCAGCAACAAGCACAGCAUGCCAUCGCAACCGAAGACCAGCAGCACAAGCAGGAACUCCACAAACUCAUGGCACGGUGUUUCCUGAAAUUGGGCGAGUGGCAGCUUAAUCUGCAAGGCAUCAAUGAGAGCACUAUCCCCAAAGUCCUGCAGUACUACAGUGCCUCAACCGAGCACGAUCGCAACUGGUACAAGGCCUGGCAUGCUUGGGCAGUGAUGAACUUUGAGGCUGUGCUUCACUAUAAGCAUCAGAACCAGGCCAGAGAUGAGAAGAAGAAGCUGCGUCAUGUCAGUGGAACCAGCAUUACCAGUGCCAACACGGAGGGCAGCAACAGCGACAGCGAGGCAGAGAGCACAGAGAACAGUCCCCUUCCAUCUCCUGUGCAAAAGAAAGUCACGGAGGAUUUGUCCAAGACCCUCUUGCUGUAUACAGUCCCUGCUGUCCAGGGUUUCUUCCGCUCUAUCUCUCUGUCUCGAGGCAACAAUCUACAGGAUACUCUCAGGGUUCUUACUCUAUGGUUUGACUAUGGUCACUGGCCUGAUGUCAAUGAAGCUCUGGUUGAAGGGGUCAAGGCAAUCCAAAUAGACACCUGGCUGCAGGUGAUCCCUCAGCUCAUUGCAAGAAUUGAUACCCCUCGGCCUUUAGUGGGACGCCUUAUUCACCAGCUCCUCACAGAUAUUGGAAGAUAUCACCCGCAGGCUUUGAUCUACCCCUUGACUGUGGCCUCUAAAUCCACCACAACUGCACGCCACAAUGCUGCCAAUAAGAUCCUGAAAAACAUGUGUGAGCACAGUAACACUCUGGUACAGCAGGCAAUGAUGGUGAGCGAAGAGCUGAUCCGUGUAGCCAUCCUCUGGCAUGAGAUGUGGCAUGAAGGGCUGGAAGAGGCAUCCCGUCUGUACUUUGGAGAGAGGAAUGUGAAGGGAAUGUUUGAGGUGCUGGAGCCACUUCAUGCUAUGAUGGAGCGUGGGCCCCAGACUCUCAAGGAAACAUCUUUCAAUCAGGCAUAUGGCAGAGAUUUAAUGGAGGCUCAGGAAUGGUGCAGGAAAUACAUGAAAUCAGGAAACGUCAAGGACCUCACCCAGGCCUGGGAUCUCUAUUACCAUGUGUUCAGGCGGAUCUCUAAGCAGCUGCCUCAGCUCACUUCCUUAGAACUACAGUAUGUGUCACCAAAACUCCUCAUGUGCCGGGAUUUGGAAUUAGCGGUGCCAGGAACAUAUGAUCCCAACCAGCCAAUCAUCCGCAUUCAAUCCAUUGCACCAUCACUGCAGGUCAUCACGUCCAAGCAGAGGCCCAGGAAAUUGACAUUAAUGGGAAGCAAUGGGCAUGAGUUUGUAUUCCUUUUGAAGGGCCAUGAGGACCUUCGCCAGGAUGAAAGAGUAAUGCAACUCUUUGGACUAGUCAACACUCUGCUGGCCAAUGACCCGACAUCUCUGCGUAAAAACCUCAGCAUCCAGAGAUAUGCCGUUAUUCCACUGUCUACAAACUCUGGCCUGAUUGGCUGGGUUCCCCACUGUGACACUCUGCACGCGCUCAUCCGAGACUACAGGGAAAAGAAAAAGAUCCUUCUCAAUAUUGAACAUCGCAUCAUGCUGCGGAUGGCUCCAGACUACGACCAUCUGACUUUGAUGCAGAAGGUGGAGGUGUUUGAACAUGCUGUCAAUAAUACUGCUGGUGAUGAUUUGGCCAAACUGCUGUGGCUAAAAAGUCCCAGCUCCGAGGUGUGGUUUGACAGAAGAACUAAUUACACCCGCUCACUAGCUGUGAUGUCAAUGGUUGGGUACAUUUUGGGUCUUGGGGACAGACACCCUUCCAACCUGAUGCUAGACAGGCUGAGUGGAAAGAUUCUGCAUAUUGACUUUGGGGACUGUUUUGAGGUUGCAAUGACAAGAGAGAAGUUCCCUGAAAAGAUUCCAUUUAGACUUACAAGAAUGUUGACAAAUGCUAUGGAGGUGACUGGCCUAGAUGGUAAUUACAGAAUCACUUGUCACACUGUGAUGGAAGUCCUGCGAGAACAUAAAGACAGUGUCAUGGCUGUGCUAGAGGCUUUUGUGUAUGACCCCUUACUGAACUGGAGGCUGAUGGACACAAAUACAAAAGGCAAUAAACGAUCACGAACAAGGACAGAUUCCUAUUCAGCUAGUCAGUCAGUAGAAAUGUUGGAUAAUGUGGAGCUGGGUGAGACAGCCCAUAAGAAAACUGGGACCACAGUGCCUGAAUCCAUCCAUUCCUUCAUAGGGGAUGGGUUAGUGAAGCCAGAGGCUCUCAAUAAGAAGGCUAUUCAAAUUAUUAAUAGGGUUCGAGAUAAACUCACUGGUCGAGACUUCUCUCAUGAUGAAACUUUGGAUGUACCCACACAAGUAGAAUUGCUUAUUAAGCAAGCUACUUCCCAUGAGAAUCUCUGCCAGUGCUACAUUGGAUGGUGAGUUUGUCUUUAAAUUAGCCUUCCAAAUGGAGAACAGUCAAGUAAAAUAUCAUUACUCUUAUCUCAGGAAUCAUGCUGAGGAUGCCUGAGUAGACAUUGUGUCUAAGCUUGUAAUUUUGUGACCAUUUUGUUAGGUUACCUUAGGCACUGCCCUGUAUGCAAGCAAUCUGUUAUAACUAGAAAAGGGGAUUAUUUAAAUCAGGAUCAACUCAGAGGUUUUAUGCAUUUGAAAUAAGAUGCUCCAAUUGUAUGUAUAUCAUUAAUUGAUAGUUAUGAUAGGGAAAUUACAUACUCUGUCAACAAGCACACUUUUAUAAUGCCUUCAUCUUUUUAAGAUUUCUUAACUGCAGGUUGUAUUCAAGGAACCAGAAGAUUUGGGGGUGGGGUUCAGACAGUAGAAGUGUUGAUCAGGGAUCAAGAAGUAGGCUCAGGCAUGGGUCUUUCCCAUCCUCAGUGUCCUUGUGAUUAUAGAAAGGCUACUGGACAUUAGGGUACCUCAGUCCUUCUUAACUUAGUCUGUUUUUAUGAAGCGAUGGGUAAGAUUGCACUAUUAAAGUAUUGCUUUUGCUAUCUUUAGGUGUCCUUUUUGGUAACAGAAGAUUCCAGAGUAUCCACAGCCUUUAUUGGAGGCUUUUGCGCUCCAGAUAUAUUCUUCUACAAACUGAAAUCUUGGACUGAAAUACAGCCUGUCAAAUAUUUUGAAAUGUAAAUUAAGAGUUAUUGUAUAUUAAAAGUUGGUUUAAGCCAAUUCAUAGCUGCUGUUGAAAAACACAAGUUGUCUGAAACUUACGACUUGAUUUGGGUUUCCAGAACAAUGAAGACUGACUAGACCACAAAUACAUGGUUCACUUGGUCUUUGGGGAACUGGUGACCCAUUACAAAUAACAAAAUACGGGUUUUGACAUAACUUACAAUGUAACUAUACUAAAAUAUCUGCAGAUGAAUCAUUGCCCUGGUCAGCUCUGUUGGUGUGGCUGCAGUGAACUCAGUGCACUCAUGCAAGAAUCCUCAUUCAAGUGUGGGGACAGAGCUGGAGGGUAGAGAGCAAGAAGAAAGAAGCAGAGUUUUUCUGUCUGUCUAUCUCCAUUAUAUCUGUCCAUUAUCUCACCUGUCCCAAAACUCUGUACACUCACCCAAAAUCAGAGGGAGGGGAUUGUAGUUGAAAGGUUUGUGUCCAGUGGAGAUGUAACUAGCACAUUUCAGACUAGAUCUGGAUAUAGGGGUAGAUCCAGGAUCAAAGACUCUGAGCCAGUCAAAGCAAAGUGUCUCAAAGAGGGUUGAUCUAUGGCAAGGAGGAUGCAAGGUAAACUCAGAAUACCACUUGGAAGCGUCCCACACUGGUGGACUGAAGAGCAGUAUUGGGAAAUAAUUAGGGAAAACUGAAUACUCAGCACAAAAAGCGGAAGGGAGGAGAACUGAUCAUACCUGGAAACGGAGAAUAAUGGAUAUUAAACUGAGGGUGAAGGUAAAUAAAGUUAUGAUUUAUUAAUAAAACAAAAUGCACAAAAUACAAAGUGUAGCUAUGUUUAGAUGCCAUGUUGUAUUUGAAUAUUUUUGUGCCAAUAAAUUACACCAAAAUGUAAAAA